GUACAUUUGACUCAGUGGGCUGGGACAGGCAGACCCACCCUUAGUUAGGUGGGCACCAUCUAAUCAGCUGCUAGCAAAUAUAAAGCAGGCAGAAAAAUGUCAAAAGUAGAGACUUGCCUAGUCUCCCAGUCUACAUCCUUCUCCCCUGCUGGGUACUUCUUGCUCUGGAACAUCAGACUUUGAGUUCUUCAGUUUUGAGACUUGGACUGGCUCUCCUUGCUCCUAAGCUUGCAGACAUCCUAUCAUGGGAGCUUGUCAUAUGAAACCUCGCUUUGAGAGUUGAGAUCGUGGAUUUCAACCACAGCAUAGAGCUGAACAGACACUACAAAGAACCUAUUGCCUUUCAUAC
rnacentral:lncRNA from 13 species